GACGAACGCUGGCGGCGUGCUUAACACAUGCAAGUCGAACGGAAAGGCCCUGCUUUUGUGGGGUGCUCGAGUGGCGAACGGGUGAGUAACACGUGAGUAACCUGCCCUUGACUUUGGGAUAACUUCAGGAAACUGGGGCUAAUACCGGAUAGGAGCUCCUGCUGCAUGGUGGGGGUUGGAAAGUUUCGGCGGUUGGGGAUGGACUCGCGGCUUAUCAGCUUGUUGGUGGGGUAGUGGCUUACCAAGGCUUUGACGGGUAGCCGGCCUGCGCGGGUGACCGGCCACAUUGGGACUGAGCUACGGCCCAGACUCCUACGGGGGGCAGCAGUGGGGAAUAUUACACAAUGGGCGGAAGCCUGAUGCAGCAACGCCGCGUGCGGGAUGACGGCCUUCGGGUUGUAAACCGCUUUCGCCUGUGACGAAGCGUGAGUGACGGUAAUGGGUAAAGAAGCACCGGCUAACUACGUG
rnacentral:rRNA from 1 species